ensembl:rRNA 5S_rRNA 5S ribosomal RNA
UGCCAGAGCCAACUUAUAGUUCUUGCCUGGUGUCCCACUAAAGCUAAGCAGUGCUGAGCCUGUCCAGUACCUGGAUGGGAGACCUCCUGGGGAAAACUAAGGUUGCUGUUGGAA